GAUGAACGCUGGCGGCGUGCCUAAUACAUGCAAGUCGAGCGAACAGACGAGGAGCUUGCUCCUCUGACGUUAGCGGCGGACGGGUGAGUAACAGGUGGAUAACCUACCUAUAAGACUGGGAUAACUUCGGGAAACCGGAGCUAAUACCGGAUAAUAUAUUGAACCGCAUGGUUCAAUAGUGAAAGACGGUUUUGCUGUCACUUAUAGAUGGAUCCGCGCCGCAUUAGCUAGUUGGUAAGGUAACGGCUUACCAAGGCAACGAUGCGUAGCCGACCUGAGAGGGUGAUCGGCCACACUGGAACUGAGACACGGUCCAGACUCCUACGGGAGGCAGCAGUAGGGAAUCUUCCGCAAUGGGCGAAAGCCUGACGGAGCAACGCCGCGUGAGUGAUGAAGGUCUUCGGAUCGUAAAACUCUGUUAUUAGGGAAGAACAAAUGUGUAAGUAACUAUGCACGUCUUGACGGUACCUAAUCAGAAAGCCACGGCUAACUACGUG
rnacentral:rRNA from 1 species